AGAGUUUGAUCCUGGCUCAGGAUGAACGCUGGCGGCGUGCUUAACACAUGCAAGUCGAACGAAGCAAUCUAACGGAAGUUUUCGGAUGGAAGCUGGAUUGACUGAGUGGCGGACGGGUGAGUAACGCGUGGGUAACCUGCCUCACACUGGGGGACAACAGUUAGAAAUGACUGCUAAUACCGCAUAAGCGCACAGGACCGCAUGGUCCGGUGUGAAAAACUCCGGUGGUGUGAGAUGGACCCGCGUUUGAUUAGCUAGUUGGUGGGGUAACGGCCUACCAAGGCGACGAUCAAUAGCCGACCUGAGAGGGUGACCGGCCACAUUGGGACUGAGACACGGCCCAAACUCCUACGGGAGGCAGCAGUGGGGAAUAUUGCACAAUGGGGGAAACCCUGAUGCAGCGACGCCGCGUGAGUGAAGAAGUAUUUCGGUAUGUAAAGCUCUAUCAGCAGGGAAGAAAA
rnacentral:rRNA from 1 species